GUGGUCCAGAAACGCAGAGGAGGCAGAGCUGCAAACAGGAGCAGAGAUGGGAAGGGAGACAAGCACUGCCCAGGCCACUGUGAUCUACCCAGGCCCUAACAAGCCAUGCUGUUGCCCAGCCUUUGCCUAGUACUCCCUCUGUCUACGAUGCCCUCCCUGCCCUUCUUCUCCAAGUCUUACAGGGCUCGAGAAUUCUAUCAUGUAUUACAAUAAAAUCCACACUCCUUCCCUGGCCCCUGGCCCUAGAGCACUCAUCUCUUGCCACCCCCCUAGCACUCACUAGGGUCUGGCCACAUCAACUGUCUUAGUCUGUUUUCUGUUGCGUAUAGCUGAAUACCUGAAACUGGGUAAUUUAUAAAGAAAAGAAACGUAUUUCUUACAGUUAUGGAAGCCAAGACAUCCAGGUCGAGGGGCCAAGCUGGUGAGAGCUUCUUGCUGCUGGGGACUCUCCACAGAAUCUUCAUGGCAGUGCAGAGCAUCACAUGGAACACUCUACAUUAAGGACCCACAGCAGGGGAAAGAGCUUGGCCUAUUUGAAGUAAAGAAGAAUGGCACCAGAAGAGCAUGAGAAAGUGAGAGGGGAGGGGCCAGCAGGGCCAGGUCUCCCGGAGCCUUCCAUGUGGACAGGACUGGGUUUUAUUCCAAGCUGGCCUCUGGAGUUAAGCAAGUGAGAGGUCUCUGCAUGAGUUGAUCCAACUGCCUGGAUUCUCCUUUCUCCUCUUCUCCAUCCUCAAAAUGCCACCCUCCAAUUCUUCAGGAUCCAGUUUAAUAAUAUUUUUGUGCAGAAAAAUGAAAAAAUAUAGUUGUAUUUACAACUCUAUUUAAUGAAAGCAAGAAGAAGACUCCAACGAUGAUGUCCUCUGUCUUCUUUUAUACUUUCUCGAGAGAUGAAAGUAUACUUUUAUACUUUGGGCAAUAUGAUAAAAAAAAACGGAAGGAUGAUGCAAUAGUGAUCAUUUGUUUCAUUGUUGCCUCAUCCUUCCAGGUGAUUGCAUCAUUCUCCCAUUUUCUUGUUAGUUUUUUUAAUGAUAAUUGGCAAUAAUUGAUGAGUAAUGAUGAAAUAAUUUCUAGGGUGAUAA